rnacentral:tRNA from 1 species
GGGACCGUAGCUCAGCCUGGUUAGAGCGUCCGCCUGAUAAGCGGGAGGUCGCCGGUUCAAAUCCGGCCGGUCCCACC